AAAUUGUAUCGAAAAUGCCAAAAAUGGCAAAUAUAUUAUUUUCUACGUGAAUAGUUAUCCGACGACAGAAAGUUCGAAUCAAAAGUGUGACUACUCGGUUAGACGGAAUUGUUUAUUUUAUAAAGUUUAUUAUGGGGAGAUUUUCUACUGUGAACUAAAGAUCAAUAUUUUCCUGGCGAACCCUGCGGUUUAGCUGAAUCAAUCUUGUAUGUCAACCUCGAAAACGUCGACUGAAUCGCUCGAAUAUACGAAUUAACAUUCUGAUUCACUAAAUUCGCCACCUACUUCAUCACAAACAGGGCAUGGAGAAACACGCUCAAUACAGCAUUUAUCAUUGGGAAAUUGGUCACAAUAUCAUCCAGUAAUAACUGCAUCUACUGAGCCAAUGGGAGAUUCCAGACCAAUACCGGAAAAUAACGAGAUUGCGUAUGCAGAAAAGAGUCUCAUUUCUGGUAGGAAUCCGAGAGAUAGGCUUUUAUCAAUUCAUGCUGCCCUGAAACCACUUUUCGAAAAAUACAAUCAGAUGUUGAAAGCUCGAUUGAGAAAAUCAAGAACAAUAUAACAAAUGAAUGGCCCAGCGUAGGGUUCAUUAGACAAUCUGUUAAGCACAUACAUCUCGGCAGAGGAAUUUAUAUGCCCCUUUUCUGUUAUGAUGCAGCUAAAGUAAACGCUAAGAGUAAAUUCAGUAUCUUUGUUCGAAAUAUAGCUGUUUUUGUUUUCACUCCACAAGAGUUAAUAAGUAGUAGCGUGGAAGGAAUAAAAUGCAACAGAACAAAAACUUCGCACCCAGCGUUAGACAGCACGAAAUCAUCAGCGAUUCACGAUAAAUAUACAAAUUAUAUAAUUCAGCAGUAGAAAAGACUUUAAGUUAAAGUUUUAGGAUUUUUUUGAAACGUAUAUCAAGUCUUCUUGGCAGAUACUGAACGGUAGCAGAUACAUUAUUAUAUAAAAAGAGACACAAGUAAAUAUGAAAUGCAGAUACAAAUGCAAAUAAAGAUUAAAUCCAGAUACAGCUGCAAGUAAAGAUGAAAUACAGAUAUACCCUGGCGGAUCCAAGGAACCGAAUGGAGCCUCUAGAAAGUACUCACAUUCACAGGAACGAUGCAAAGGGUUACGCUUACGUCGAUUGGAACGAUUCAUAA